UACAGAGGUCCCAAGCGUUGUUCGGAUUCACUGGGCGUAAAGGGUGCGUAGGUGGCCAGGUAAGUUCGAUGUGAAAGCUCGGAGCUUAACUCCGAAAAGUCAUUGAAUACUAUCUGGCUGGAGGGUCGGAAGGGAGACUGGAAUUCUCGGUGUAGCAGUGAAAUGCGUAGAUAUCGAGAGGAACACCAGUGGCGAAGGCGAGUCUCUGGACGACACCUGACACUGAGGCACGAAAGCUAGGGGAGCAAACAGG
rnacentral:rRNA from 1 species